GGAGGAGACAUGAAUAAGACAGCCGUGACGAAGGAAACCAGCAAUAAUAGAGGAACAAACGAUAGGGGCCCAGUGGUCUAAGUGGUACCAUGGUAGUGGCAGAGGAUGUGGAGCAGGGUCAUGGAGGAACAAGUUGUACAGUUGGGGAUGGCAGAAUGAACAACGGCCUCAUGGAGCACUGAAUAAUACGAUAGCAGAUGGAGGAGUCAUUGACCAUAAUAGAGAAAUGAGUGAUAUGAUGGCAGAUGGAUGGAAUGCGACAGUGUCACAGGAGGAACGAAUGAUAAACGCACGGAGAACUGUGUGGUAACGAUGGUGCACAGGGAGAAGAUGACAGAAAGAGAGCCUAGUGAUACGAAGGCGAUGGGACUGAAUGGCGAGUGCAUGCAAGGCCACAGGACACAGUGGCAGAGUGAGCUAAUAACUGCAUCCGAGAAGAUGUGUUCACUAGCAGACACCCAGUGCCAGGGGCUCCCCGUCACAGCCUGAGACUUGGGCACAAAGUUGACGCACACUCCAGAAAUCACCCAAGGUUAGAUUAAAAAUAAGAA